rnacentral:rRNA from 1 species
CCUACGGGGGGCUGCAGUCGAGAAUCAUUCACAAUGGGGGAAACCCUGAUGGUGCGACGCCGCGUGGGGGAAUGAAGGUCUUCGGAUUGUAAACCCCUGUCAUGUGGGAGCAAAUUAAAAAGAUAGUACCACAAGAGGAAGAGACGGCUAACUCUGUGCCAGCAGCCGCGGUAAUACAGAGGUCUCAAGCGUUGUUCGGAAUCACUGGGCGUAAAGCGUGCGUAGGCUGUUUCGUAAGUCGUGUGUGAAAGGCGCGGGCUCAACCCGCGGACGGCGCAUGAUACUGCGAGACUAGAGUAAGGGAGGGGGAACCGGAAUUCUCGGUGUAGCAGUGAAAUGCGUAGAUAUCGAGAGGAACACUCGUGGCGAAGGCGGGUUCCUGGACAUUAACUGACGCUGAGGCACGAAGGCCAGGGGAGCGAAAGGGAUUAGAUACCCUUGUAGUC